CCUCUGGUAAGCUCAGUGGUAGAGCGGUGGACUGUAGAUCCAUAGGUCGCUGGUUCAAAUCCGGCCCAGAGGA
rnacentral:tRNA from 1 species